rnacentral:lncRNA from 10 species
UAAAGCUCGAGUCUCUGAAGCAUUUGAGAAAAAGCACAAAUUCAACAGAUAUUUAUCAAGUGUCUUCUCUGUGAUGUGGCUGAAGAUAGGAAUUUACAGCAUGGCAACAAAGAAUGAUACAACAUCUAACUGUACUAUGUGUGAAGUGCUACAAAAACAUAUGGCAAGCUCUGGAAUCAAGAAGUGAGGAGGCCAGAUGAGGAAACUGAGGGGUGAAGAGUUUAAGUCGUCUGCCCAAAACUAGCAGUGGGAGAGUGAUGCAGCCAGGAUUUAAACCCAGGUAGCCCAAAUACGGCAUCUACAAUCUAUCUCAAAUCUAUGGCAUCACAGAUGAGCUGGUGUCCACCUUUCCCUGAAGGAGUUGAAGGAGCUUUUAUAGAAGAAGUGAUAUCUGAACUGGACCUUAGAGAGUAAGUAAAAUUCUGCCAGAUAAAGAAUAUGUAAAAGUGUUAGUCCAGCCUGAGAUUUGUGUGCAAGGGCAGAGUCGGGAAAGGCCACUACGUGCUUGCAGGAAUGCCUCAUGGGCAUAAGUUGCUGGCGUGUGGGUGUAGUGGGGGUUGGGUAGAGGGAGAGGUAUGAGCUGGGGACGGGGUGGCUGAAAAAAGAGGUUGGUAGUAGAGGAAUCCAAAUAUAUUUUUGAAAUGGA